UACGUAGGGUGUAAGCGUUAAUCGGAAUUACUGGGCGUAAAGCGUGCGCAGGCGGUUAUGUAAGACAGUUGUGAAAUCCCCGGGCUCAACCUGGGAAUUGCAUCUGUGACUGCAUAGCUAGAGUACGGUAGAGGGGGAUGGAAUUCCGCGUGUAGCAGUGAAAUGCGUAGAUAUGCGGAGGAACACCGAUGGCGAAGGCAAUCCCCUGGACCUGUACUGACGCUCAUGCACGAAAGCGUGGGGAGCAAACAGG
rnacentral:rRNA from 1 species